rnacentral:ncRNA from 1 species
AGGAGCCGUAUGAGUGAAAAUCUCACGUACGGUUCUGAAAUAGCGAUGGGAACAGUGAUGUUAUCAUCGACUAUGAU